GGGGAUUUAGCUCAGUGGUAGAGUGCUUGCCUAGCAAGCACAAGGUCCUGGGUUCAGUCCCCA
rfam:Rattus norvegicus chromosome 16, whole genome shotgun sequence.